AACGCAACUUGCGCCCCUCGGUAUUCCGAGGGGCACACCUGUUUGAGUGUCGUGAAUUCCUCCACCUUUCGUCUUUCGAUCGAGGGGCUGGGAUUUGGGGGCCUCUGCGGGCCCUUUUUUUUUACGGACCCGCUCCCCUUGAAUGCAUGAGUGAAGGACCGCUCGCUGCCUUGGUGUGAUAACGUCUACGCCUCGGCCCGUCGAGAUCGAGGCCCUUUGCUUCCAACGGUCCGUUUUCGGACGAAACGAUACGAACUUGACCUCAAAUCAGGUGGGACUACCCGCCGAACUUAA
rnacentral:misc_RNA from 1 species